rnacentral:rRNA from 1 species
GUUAGGAAUAUUGGACAAUGGGCGCAAGCCUGAUCCAGCCAUGCCGCGUGAGUGAUGAAGGCCUUCGGGUUGUAAAGCUCUUUAGCCGUUGAUUAUAAUGACUGUAGUCGGAAAAUAAGCCCCGGCUAACUUCGUGCCAGCAGCCGCGGUAAUACGAAGGGGGCGAGCGUUAUUAGGAAUCACUGGGCGUAAAGCGUGCGUAGGCGGCUUUGCAAGUUGGGAGUGAAAGCCCAGGGCUCAACCCUGGAAUUGCUCUCAAAACUGCAAGGCUCGAAUUCGGGAGAGGAUAGCGGAAUUGUCAGUGUAGCAGUGAAAUGCGUAGAUAUUGACAGGAACACCAGUGGCGUAAGCGGCUAUCUGGACCGAUAUUGACGCUGAGGCACGAAAGCGUGGGGAUCAAACAGGAUUAGAAACCCGGGUAGUCC